rnacentral:rRNA from 1 species
GAUGAACGCUGGCGGCGUGCCUAAUACAUGCAAGUCGAGCGAACAGACGAGGAGCUUGCUCCUCUGACGUUAGCGGCGGACGGGUGAGUAACACGUGGAUAACCUACCUAUAAGACUGGGAUAACUUCGGGAAACCGGAGCUAAUACCGGAUAAUAUAUUGAACCGCAUGGUUCAAUAGUGAAAGACGGUUUUGCUGUCACUUAUAGAUGGAUCCGCGCCGCAUUAGCUAGUUGGUAAGGUAACGGCUUACCAAGGCAACGAUGCGUAGCCGACCUGAGAGGGUGAUCGGCCACACUGGAACUGAGACACGGUCCAGACUCUUACGGGAGGCAGCAGUAGGGAAUCUUCCGCAAUGGGCGAAAGCCUGACGGAGCAACGCCGCGUGAGUGAUGAAGGUCUUCGGAUCGUAAAACUCUGUUAUUAGGGAAGAACAAAUGUGUAAGUAACUAUGCACGUCUUGACGGGACCUAAUCAGAAAGCCACGGCUAACUACG